GGUGAAUGUGGGCCGGGGGGGGCGGUACAAGAGGGGGGGGAGGGGUUGGUGGGAGGGUGUGGGGGGAAAGCGGGUGUAGGCGGGUUUGCAAGUCGGGUGUGAAAGCCCUCGGCUCAACCGAGGAAGGGCGCCCGAAACUGCAGAGCUUGAGUACCGGAGAGGAUGGCGGAAUUCCCCAAGUAGAGGUGAAAUUCGUAGAUAUGGGGAGGAACACCGGUGGCGAAGGCGGCCAUCUGGACGGAUACUGACGCUGAGACGCGAAAGCGUGGGGAGCAAACAGGAUUAGAUACCCCAGUAGUC
rnacentral:rRNA from 1 species